rfam:Bacillus circulans strain RIT379 contig26, whole genome shotgun sequence.
UGGGCUAUAGCCAAGCGGUAAGGCAACGGACUUUGACUCCGUCAUUCGUUGGUUCGAAUCCAGCUAGCCCAG